UUAAGCGACUAAGCGUACACGGUGGAUGCCCUGGCAGUCAGAGGCGAUGAAGGACGUGCUAAUCUGCGAUAAGCGUCGGUAAGGUGAUAUGAACCGUUAUAACCGGCGAUUUCCGAAUGGGGAAACCCAGUGUGUUUCGACACACUAUCAUUAACUGAAUCCAUAGGUUAAUGAGGCGAACCGGGGGAACUGAAACAUCUAAGUACCCCGAGGAAAAGAAAUCAACCGAGAUUCCCCCAGUAGCGGCGAGCGAACGGGGAGCAGCCCAGAGCCUGAAUCAGUGUGUGUGUUAGUGGAAGCGUCUGGAAAGGCGCGCGAUACAGGGUGACAGCCCCGUACACAAAAAUGCACAUGCUGUGAGCUCGAUGAGUAGGGCGGGACACGUGGUAUCCUGUCUGAAUAUGGGGGGACCAUCCUCCAAGGCUAAAUACUCCUGACUGACCGAUAGUGAACCAGUACCGUGAGGGAAAGGCGAAAAGAACCCCGGCGAGGGGAGUGAAAAAGAACCUGAAACCGUGUACGUACAAGCAGUGGGAGCCUCUUUAUGGGGUGACUGCGUACCUUUUGUAUAAUGGGUCAGCGACUUAUAUUCUGUAGCAAGGUUAACCGAAUAGGGGAGCCGAAGGGAAACCGAGUCUUAACUGGGCGUUAAGUUGCAGGGUAUAGACCCGAAACCCGGUGAUCUAGCCAUGGGCAGGUUGAAGGUUGGGUAACACUAACUGGAGGACCGAACCGACUAAUGUUGAAAAAUUAGCGGAUGACUUGUGGCUGGGGGUGAAAGGCCAAUCAAACCGGGAGAUAGCUGGUUCUCCCCGAAAGCUAUUUAGGUAGCGCCUCGUGAAUUCAUCUCCGGGGGUAGAGCACUGUUUCGGCAAGGGGGUCAUCCCGACUUACCAACCCGAUGCAAACUGCGAAUACCGGAGAAUGUUAUCACGGGAGACACACGGCGGGUGCUAACGUCCGUCGUGAAGAGGGAAACAACCCAGACCGCCAGCUAAGGUCCCAAAGUCAUGGUUAAGUGGGAAACGAUGUGGGAAGGCCCAGACAGCCAGGAUGUUGGCUUAGAAGCAGCCAUCAUUUAAAGAAAGCGUAAUAGCUCACUGGUCGAGUCGGCCUGCGCGGAAGAUGUAACGGGGCUAAACCAUGCACCGAAGCUGCGGCAGCGACGCUUAUGCGUUGUUGGGUAGGGGAGCGUUCUGUAAGCCUGUGAAGGUGUGCUGUGAGGCAUGCUGGAGGUAUCAGAAGUGCGAAUGCUGACAUAAGUAACGAUAAAGCGGGUGAAAAGCCCGCUCGCCGGAAGACCAAGGGUUCCUGUCCAACGUUAAUCGGGGCAGGGUGAGUCGACCCCUAAGGCGAGGCCGAAAGGCGUAGUCGAUGGGAAACAGGUUAAUAUUCCUGUACUUGGUGUUACUGCGAAGGGGGGACGGAGAAGGCUAUGUUGGCCGGGCGACGGUUGUCCCGGUUUAAGCGUGUAGGCUGGUUUUCCAGGCAAAUCCGGAAAAUCAAGGCUGAGGCGUGAUGACGAGGCACUACGGUGCUGAAGCAACAAAUGCCCUGCUUCCAGGAAAAGCCUCUAAGCAUCAGGUAACAUCAAAUCGUACCCCAAACCGACACAGGUGGUCAGGUAGAGAAUACCAAGGCGCUUGAGAGAACUCGGGUGAAGGAACUAGGCAAAAUGGUGCCGUAACUUCGGGAGAAGGCACGCUGAUAUGUAGGUGAAGUCCCUCGCGGAUGGAGCUGAAAUCAGUCGAAGAUACCAGCUGGCUGCAACUGUUUAUUAAAAACACAGCACUGUGCAAACACGAAAGUGGACGUAUACGGUGUGACGCCUGCCCGGUGCCGGAAGGUUAAUUGAUGGGGUCAGCGCAAGCGAAGCUCUUGAUCGAAGCCCCGGUAAACGGCGGCCGUAACUAUAACGGUCCUAAGGUAGCGAAAUUCCUUGUCGGGUAAGUUCCGACCUGCACGAAUGGCGUAAUGAUGGCCAGGCUGUCUCCACCCGAGACUCAGUGAAAUUGAACUCGCUGUGAAGAUGCAGUGUACCCGCGGCAAGACGGAAAGACCCCGUGAACCUUUACUAUAGCUUGACACUGAACAUUGAGCCUUGAUGUGUAGGAUAGGUGGGAGGCUUUGAAGUGUGGACGCCAGUCUGCAUGGAGCCGACCUUGAAAUACCACCCUUUAAUGUUUGAUGUUCUAACGUUGGCCCCUAAUCGGGGUUGCGGACAGUGUCUGGUGGGUAGUUUGACUGGGGCGGUCUCCUCCUAAAGAGUAACGGAGGAGCACGAAGGUUGGCUAAUCCUGGUCGGACAUCAGGAGGUUAGUGCAAUGGCAUAAGCCAGCUUGACUGCGAGCGUGACGGCGCGAGCAGGUGCGAAAGCAGGUCAUAGUGAUCCGGUGGUUCUGAAUGGAAGGGCCAUCGCUCAACGGAUAAAAGGUACUCCGGGGAUAACAGGCUGAUACCGCCCAAGAGUUCAUAUCGACGGCGGUGUUUGGCACCUCGAUGUCGGCUCAUCACAUCCUGGGGCUGAAGUAGGUCCCAAGGGUAUGGCUGUUCGCCAUUUAAAGUGGUACGCGAGCUGGGUUUAGAACGUCGUGAGACAGUUCGGUCCCUAUCUGCCGUGGGCGCUGGAGAACUGAGGGGGGCUGCUCCUAGUACGAGAGGACCGGAGUGGACGCAUCACUGGUGUUCGGGUUGUCAUGCCAAUGGCACUGCCCGGUAGCUAAAUGCGGAAGAGAUAAGUGCUGAAAGCAUCUAAGCACGAAACUUGCCCCGAGAUGAGUUCUCCCUGACUCCUUGAGAGUCCUGAAGGAACGUUGAAGACGACGACGUUGAUAGGCCGGGUGUGUAAGCGCAGCGAUGCGUUGAGCUAACCGGUACUAAUGAACCGUGAGGCUUAACCUU
rnacentral:rRNA from 1 species